GAUGACUCCACACCCUGUGAUCCGCUGGUUAGAUCACUGGAAAGGCUCCAGGAACUAAUUCAUGUGUCCUCUCUAAAUGCAAUGAGGUCUCGUCUGGAUCUGAUAGCCAAAAAACAGGGGAUGGGUUUUCACUUCACUGACACCACAUGCUACUUGACAGCUGGUUUGUUCUACCUUGAGGUGCUGUUGCUGCCAAGUGGUGAGGUUGAGGACGUGAA